ACCACUCCCAAGAUUGCACCUAUUUUGGGUUCUGUCGGAUACAGU
rnacentral:ribozyme from 1 species